rnacentral:lncRNA from 10 species
CAGGUAGAUUUUAAGUACAAAUAUAUAUGCACAGAGAGAGAGAGAGAGAGAGAGAGAGAGAGAGAGAGAGAGAGAGAGAAGACUAAUGGCAUAGAACAGCCACAAAUAUAAAAAGGAGGAAGGAGACUAACAUUUAAUGAGUGCCUUCUAUGUGCCUGACACAGUUCUGACCUGUAGUUGCAGCAUCUCACUUGGUAUAUAAAGAAAAACCUACAGCUAUUUCUGGGAUCUUGGCCACAGAACCUCCUUAUAGUCUGCUACCUGCAGACAUAGCAUUCCUUUCCUCUGGGGGAUGCAGUGUUGAAGGCGCCAUUUGGAAGCAGAAAGGAGCCCUCACCAGGCUCCACUGGCAGAGGCGCGACAGAGUAGCUGAGUGGCAGAGUGGAACAGCAGAGGAGAGGAGAAGAUGCUCCCGGAUGUUGGAGAGAAGCCACUUAACUUCAGAGGGACGGCCUGACAGUGAGACCUCGGAGAACUGUCUGGCCGGAGAGGGCCGAACUCCAGGGGAAGACCACCUUCCUGCUCCAUCCCCAUUCCAGCUCUCCAUCCUGCUGAGAGCCACUUUAAUCGGCAACAAAAUCCCCGAUAUGUACCAUCUUCAAUUCGUUCGUGUGACCUGAUUCUUUCUGGACGCCCAACAAGAGCUCAGGAUACAGAGAGCUGUCACACUGAGCUGCUGAACACUUCAGCUGUCCACAGAGGGCAAAGCUAAAAGAGCACACUGUAACACACGCCCUCGGGGGCUCCAGGGGCCGCACGUACUCCGUAGACCCUGCCGCAGGGCCUCACAGAGCUCUGCUCCUGCUGGAGCCCAGACGCACUAGUCUUGGCCCGUGCACCUGCUCACCUGUGUGCUUCCCCUCCCGUGAGGGGUUGAGAGCUGUAGACUGAGUAAACAAGCAAACCCCUUCACAAGUUCCGCGAAGGGGUCAAGGGAACUAUCCCAUUUCACUAGUACUUUGUGGAAGGAAAAACUUAGGAGUGAGGAGCUAGGAUAUCUGUUGGAUGAAAUCUCCAAGCAGCAAAGCAUCCAGUGUGCUGUGUGGCUUAACUACCUGUAGUAAAAUGUGAGAAGAAUCAAAUGAUAUAAAGAUGCAAUUUAUAAUGAAAAGAAAAGCAGAAUGUAAAAAUUUGCAAAAUUUUUAGCCUGAUCACGUAAAGAAUAAAAAAAAAAGCAAGUUCAGGAGAGAAAACCAAGGGUGUGGCCAAGCAAUUGUUUAAUAAGAGGGUUAGUCUAGCUAGAAGAAAGCCAGGUGCUGUUCAUCAAGACAAUGGGAGAAUGAUCCUGAAGGCACUUUGAAGAUCUUUGGGCUACCAGGGUGCUAGAGCCUUGAGGGCAGAAUGGGUUCAGGGGAGGGUCCCAGGGCACCUGUAAGAACUUGGGGCUCACUGCCAAGGGUUGCCUCAUGUUUCUGCUCCCUAUAUUCUAGGGCAGCACUACUCAGUCAACCUAGCUGUGGCUCAAGAAGGCUUAGAUGCAACUCAAGCUGCCACUCCGAGGGGCACAAGCAGUCAGCCAUGGCUGUAUUCACACAGUGUUAACUCUGCAGGUGUACAAAGUGCAAGAGCUGUGGAUGCAGGAAUACCUCCACCUAGAUUUUAAAGGAUGUCUUGGACAGCCUCAUAGCCUAGGUGGGUACUUGCUACAGGGUCAGGGUUGAUUUGGAGAGACUCCAUUAGGGCAAUGAGGGGUCAUCCCUCCUUCAUGGAGCCAUGGAGCCAGGCUCACUCUCAGAACUGUAGAGCCACCAGUGUGCAGCAUCAGCUUGGGAAAGCCACGUGCAUACGACUCUAACAUGAAGAGCUGAAGCAUGGGCUACACCCUGCAAAGCCAUGGGGCAAGGUCCCCUGGAGCUUUAAGAUGAAAUGUUUGCCUUGCUGGGUUUGGACUUAUUUGGGACCUCUUGCCCCUUUCCUUUUCUCCCGUAGCUCCUUUUUGGAAUGGGAAUGUCUAUCCUAUCCUGUCCUGCCCUUGUAUUUUAGAAGCACGUAACAUGUUUUAUUUCAUAGGCUCACAGCUGGGAGGAAAUUUGCUUCAGAAUGAAUCAUACCUUGAGUAUCACCCUUAUGAUGUUUAGUUGAGUCUUUGGACUUAGACUUCAGAUUGAUGCUGGAACAAGCUAAGACUUUUGGGGGCUAUUGGGAUAAAACAAAUAUAUUUUACACGUGAGAAGGACAUGAAUGUUGGGGGCCAGGGGCAGAAUGCCAUGGUUAGAAUGUUUUUGUCCCCUCCAAACUUCAUGUAUUGAAAUUUAAUGGCCAAUGUGAUAGUACUAACAAGUGGGGCCUUGAAGAGGUGAUUAAGUCAUGAGGGCUACUACCUCUUAUAUGGAAUUAGGUGCCUUUAUAAAAGGACUUGAUGGAGGCAGUUUAUUCCUUUUAGUCCUCUUGCCUUCUGCCAUGUGAGGACAUAGAAUUUCUCCCCUCUAAAGAAUGCAGCAUUCAAGAUGUCAUCCUGGAAAAAGAGAGCAGCCUUUACCCAUCAACCAAACCUGCCGGUGCCUUGAUCUUGGACCUCCAGGCUUCAGGACUAUGAGAAAAUAAAUUUCUGCUCUUCAUAAAUUACUAAGUCUGUGGUAUUCUCUUACAGCAACCCAAACAGACUAAGACAAAACCAAAUUAAGAAAGAUUUACUAUAGCUGAUCCAGGUUUCUAUAGAUGCCUCAUAGGACACAGACUUCUUUGAAAGCAGAUGACAUGACCUGAAUAUCAAAUAGCAGUCUCUCACCUGGAGUCCCUCCCAUGUGGGCUGCAAGGCCAUCUCAUGGUCCUUUCUUUGAGAAUAAGUAAAGCAAAAAGAAGAUACAGACCACUCAGGUAGUUUUUAUAUGCCAUCUCUUCAGGAAGCAAGUUAGAUGAAUUUCAGGGUGGAAAGUGGGCAGAGAAUGAUGAAUCAGAAGCAGAUAAAAACAGGUGGGUAAAUGCUAAACUGCCACACGGAAUAUCUGUGCAUUUGCCAAGUGUAAUUGGGAGUUAUGUGCAUCUCCUGCUGAUCAAAAAGGUAGAACCUAAAUGAAUAAAGAUGGGCCACAUGGCAGAGAAUUUGGUAAAUUUGAUGAGGAAAACAUUCUGAGAAAAUCUACCUGAUUUGGAGAUUUUGUUUCCUAACUUAUAGCUAAUUUAUGAAAUGAUAAUUAUAAAAACAUUAUGUAUCACACCUAAGGACAUAAAGAA